rnacentral:rRNA from 1 species
UACGUAGGGGGCAAGCGUUGUCCGGAUUUACUGGGCGUAAAGAGCGUGUAGGCGGCCAAGCAGGUCCGUUGUGAAAACUGGAGGCUUAACCUCCAGACGUCGACGGAAACCGCGUGGCUAGAGUCCGGAAGAGGAGAGUGGAAUUCCUGGUGUAGCGGUGAAAUGCGCAGAUAUCAGGAAGAACACCGAUGGCGAAAGCAGCUCUCUGGGACGGUACUGACGCUGAGGCGCGAAAGCGUGGGGAGCGAACAGG